UAUUUUCCAACAAUGACAUGACUAGCAACUCAAUUAUAAUAUGGUUUUUUCCUUACAAGUCUGCUAGUUUCUAAUAAUAACUCUAUAAUUCUCCUUACAAGUCUGCUAGUUUCUUACUGUGUUUAGUUCGAUAGGUGUUUUGUGUUGGCGUAUGCUAUUGCUGCGCUGCAGAUGAAAGAUAUCAAUCAGUGCCGCGUGUUGGAUAAGGCCAUGAACAACCAUCCUAUA
rnacentral:lncRNA from 1 species